GACGAACGCUGGCGGCGUGUCUAAUACAUGCAAGUUGAGCGCUGAAGGUUGGUCCUUGUACCAACUGGAUGAGCAGCGAACGGGUGAGUAACGCGUGGGGAAUCUGCCUUUGAGCGGGGGACAACAUUUGGAAACGAAUGCUAAUACCGCAUAAAAACUUUAAACACAAGUUUUAAGUUUGAAAGAUGCAAUUGCAUCACUCAAAGAUGAUCCCGCGUUGUAUUAGCUAGUUGGUGAGGUAAAGGCUCACCAAGGCGAUGAUACAUAGCCGACCUGAGAGGGUGAUCGGCCACAUUGGGACUGAGACACGGCCCAAACUCCUACGGGAGGCAGCAGUAGGGAAUCUUCGGCAAUGGACGAAAGUCUGACCGAGCAACGCCGCGUGAGUGAAGAAGGUUUUCGGAUCGUAAAACUCUGUUGGUAGAGAAGAACGUUGGUGAGAGUGGAAAGCUCAUCAAGUGACGGUAACUACCCAGAAAGGGACGGCUAACUACGUG
rnacentral:rRNA from 1 species